GAACCUUACCAGCUUUUGACAUGCCCGGUAUGGUCGCCAGAGAUGGCUCCCUUCCCGCAAGGGGCCGGUGCACAGGUGCUGCAUGGCUGUCGUCAGCUCGUGUCGUGAGAUGUUGGGUUAAGUCCCGCAACGAGCGCAACCCUCGCCCUUAGUUGCCAUCAUUCAGUUGGGCACUCUAGGGGGACUGCCGGUGAUAAGCCGCGAGGAAGGUGGGGAUGACGUCAAGUCUUCAUGGCCCUUACAGGCUGGGCUACACACGUGCUACAAUGGCGGUGACAAUGGGAUGCAAUGGCGCGAGCCCUAGCAAAUCUCAAAAAGCCGUCUCAGUUCGGAUUGCACUCUGCAACUCGAGUGCAUGAAGUUGGAAUCGCUAGUAAUCGCAGAUCAGCACGCUGCGGUGAAUACGUUCCCGGGCCUUGUCACACCGA
rnacentral:rRNA from 1 species